CGAGGCUUCAGUGAUGAUGUUAAGAGUGUUUCUGAGCGGUUCCAGAUGCAACUGUGAGAACAAGCCCAUUUUAGAAGUGGAAGAGUAUCUGCCACAAUGCCCGGCAAUGAAAACAUUUACAAGACAACAAAACAAAGUUUAAAGUCUAUCCUUCUAGAAGAUCGAGAUGCACACUUGAGUUUGAAUCCUGGCUUCACCACUUUUUAUUGAGCUACUAAUGUGAGAGGCAUUAUGUAGAUGCUGGGGAUACACCAAGUAAACAAGUUACAAUCCCUGUCUGUGGGAGCUUGGAGAGAGCCCACUGGGGCUAAGCAAGAUUGAAGCCUGAGUCAUGUGUCUUACCCACUGAACAGGUGGUUUGCCUGCCUCGAGAGUAGGAACCGACACGGGAAAAAGGCUGCCACUUACAUUCUGGAUGUGAAUCCACUCUUGGAAGGAGGAGCCUCGAAGAUGCUUUUCUUCUCUACCUCAAGGCAGCAAGAGGAUGAAAUUUCUGCUUCCUCCUUUAUCUCUAGCGAUGUUUCUGUUCACUUUGUGGGACACAGUGUAGUUUAGCACAGUCUACCCUUCGCCUUGAAGAGUGAGCUGAGGUGGCAUCAGAAUGGGGAACGGCACUGCUGUAUGGGUUCCAGUGUCCUUGUAGGACCGGUGCAAGGAAAGAGUCAGAGCCGCUCUCUGAGCCCUCCUGUCUGCAUGCCCUGGAAUUGCACAGCUGUGAGACAGCUCACACAAAGGCCAUGAGGUUUGAGCAGAAAGAGAGCAGGACCUGGGGUCAAAAGAACUGUGUUCUAAGAGUCACUGUGUCAUAAACUAAUUGAUUGAUUUUGGGCAAGUUAGUUCCCUUUUUUAUGUCUCAUUUUUCUCAUCUGUCAAGCGGAGGUAAAAAAUUCACUCUAUCCCUCUGGGGUGAGAUAAUUAAAAAGGAUAAUAGGCAUGGAAGUACCAUGAACAUAAGUAGCUUUUAUCAGCCUUAACUGAUUGGCCAGCAGGGAAGUUGUCAUUUUAGGAUAUUUAAAAAAC